rnacentral:rRNA from 1 species
AACAAGGUUUCCGUAGGUGAACCUGCGGAAGGAUCAUUAUU